rnacentral:sRNA from 1 species
AGCAGCCGCGGUAAUUCCAGCUCCAAUAGCGUAUAUUAAAGUUGUUGCAGUUAAAAAGCUCGUAGUUGAAUUUCGGGAUUGACACAUCGGUCGUGCCUUAAGGGGUAUGAACUGGUGUAGUCAAUUUCUCACCUUCUGGAGAACCGCGAUGCCCUUAAUUGGGUGUCACGGGGAACCAGGACCUUUACUUUGAAAAAAUUAGAGUGUUUAAAGCAGGCAUUUUGCUUGAAUACAUUAGCAUGGAAUAAUAAAAUAGGACGGCAUGAUUCUAUUUUGUUGGUUUCUAGGAUCACCGUAAUGAUUAAUAGGGAUAGUUGGGGGCAUUAGUAUUCAAUUGUCAGAGGUGAAAUUCUUGGAUUUAUUGAAGACUAACUACUGCGAAAGCAUUUGCCAAGGAUGUUUUCAUUAAUCAAGAACGAAAGUUAGGGGAUCGAAGACGAUCAGAUACCGUCGUAGUCUUAACCAUAAACUAUGCCGACUAGGAAUCAGACGAUGUUAAUUUUUUAAUGACUCGUUUGGU